UUCGCUGCUGGAAGUUAAGGGGUCCUGCAUGCUAAAGGAAAAAUAAGCUUGAUUGCAGUUCUACACUCUAAAAUCAAUUCUGAUACUAUAUAACACCUUUGGACCUCGUACACUGACCUCCUCAGUCCCUAGCCCUUACUGAUUAGGUUGGUGUGGAAAAACUGGGGCUUUGAUCAAGCAAAUGCUAAAAAGCCACAUAAGGAAGAUCCUUAACAGUUAUUUCUCAACAAUUAUAUAGUCAACUGAUGUAACAAUGGUACUAAUAUUGGGACGAAGACUAAACAGAGAGGAUCUCAGAGUGCGUGAUUCACCAGCAACAAAGCGUAAAGUUUUUGAAAUGGACCCUAAAUCUCUGACAGGCCGUGAGUUUUUUGACUUCUCUUCAGGAUCAUCCCAUGCUGAAAACAUAGUCCAGAUAUUUAAUGAAUUCCGAGGUAGUCGUUUGUUCACAGAUGUUAUCAUUUGUGUGGAAGGAAAAGAAUUUCCUUGCCAUAGAGCUGUUCUCUCAGCCUGUAGUAGCUACUUCAGAGCUAUGUUUUGUAAUGACCACAGGGAAAGCCGAGAAAUGUUGGUUGAGAUCAAUGGUAUUUUAGCUGAAGCUAUGGAAUGUUUUUUGCAGUAUGUUUAUACUGGAAAAGUGAAGAUCACUACAGAAAAUGUACAGUAUCUCUUUGAAACAUCAAGCCUUUUUCAGAUUAGUGUUCUCCGUGAUGCAUGUGCCAAGUUCUUGGAGGAGCAACUUGAUCCUUGCAAUUGCUUAGGAAUCCAGCGCUUUGCUGAUACCCAUUCCCUCAAAACACUCUUCACAAAAGGCAAGCAUUUUGCAUUACAGACUUUUGAGGAUGUGUCCCAGCAUGAAGAAUUUCUUGAGCUUGACAAAGAUGAACUUAUUGAUUAUAUUUGUAGUGAUGAACUUGUCAUUGGCAAAGAGGAGAUGGUUUUUGAAGCUGUCAUGCGUUGGGUCUAUCGUGCUGUUGAUCUGAGAAGACCACUGUUACAUGAGCUCCUGACACAUGUGAGACUCCCUCUGUUGCAUCCCAACUACUUUGUUCAAACAGUUGAGGUGGACCAACUGAUCCAGAAUUCUCCUGAGUGUUACCAGCUGUUGCAUGAAGCAAGACGGUACCACAUACUUGGGAAUGAAAUGAUGUCCCCAAGGACAAGGCCACGCAGGUCAACUGGCUAUUCUGAGGUGAUAGUUGUCGUUGGAGGCUGUGAACGAGUUGGAGGAUUUAAUCUUCCAUACACUGAGUGCUAUGAUCCUGUGACAGGAGAGUGGAAGUCUUUGGCUAAGCUUCCAGAAUUUACCAAAUCAGAGUAUGCGGUCUGUGCUCUAAGGAAUGACAUUCUUGUUUCAGGUGGAAGAAUCAAUGGCCGUGAUGUCUGGAUUUAUAACUCACAGUUGAAUAUUUGGAUCAGAGUUGCUUCUCUAAAUAAAGGCAGAUGGCGUCACAAAAUGGCUGUCCUCCUUGGUAAAGUAUAUGUUGUUGGAGGCUAUGAUGGGCAAAACAGACUUAGCAGUGUAGAAUGUUAUGAUUCCUUUUCAAAUCGAUGGACUGAAGUUGCCCCCCUUAAGGAAGCAGUGAGUUCUCCUGCCGUGACUAGCUGUAUAGGCAAAUUGUUUGUGAUUGGUAGAGGACCUGAUGAUAAUACUUGUUCUGAUAAGGUUCAAUCUUAUGAUCCAGAAACCAAUUCUUGGCUACUUCGUGCAGCUAUCCCAAUUGCCAAGAGGUGUAUAACAGCCGUAUCCUUAAACAACCUGAUAUAUGUUGCUGGUGGACUGACCAAGGCAAUAUACUGUUAUGAUCCCGUUGAAGAUUACUGGAUGCAUGUACAGAAUACAUUCAGCCGACAGGAAAACUGUGGUAUAUCUGUAUGUAAUGGUAAAAUAUAUAUCCUGGGUGGAAGACGGGAAAAUGGAGAAGCCACAGACACUAUUCUCUGUUAUGAUCCUGCAACAAGUAUCAUCACAGGGGUAGCUGCAAUGCCCAGGCCAGUGUCCUAUCAUGGAUGUGUGACUAUUCAUAGAUACAGUGAGAAAUGCUUUAAGCUCUAAAACCAGGAUACCUCACCCAAGAAGCCACAGCAAUCUAAGAUGAGAGGUUUCAAAAACUCCAGAGUGGGAACUUGACAUAUCUCCUUUUUGCAAUAUGCACAGAAAAGUAAAAAUAAUAAUUGUCGUGCCUUUCUCCCCAAAAUGUCAAUCUUUCAAACUGUAAUAAAGCCUUUUCUGUAA